CUCGGGGCGCAUCGCCCCGAAGGUGCUUGCCUUCUGGAGGGGAGGGAGAUUCCUUAAACUGAAUUGCUGGUUGCCUGAAGAAAAAAAGGGAAGUGUUCCAUACUGUUGUCAUUGCUUCUGCUCUGGACCUCCUGGCAUUGUACCUCUCAGGACUGGAUGACAGGUACCUUUAUGGCAUUUUGUUGUGCUAUUUUUUCCCUAUCCUUCACUCUCUAAAAUAUUGAACUAUGCAAUGACAAAUGUUGUUCUACUCUCAAAUACUAGUAGUAAAGCCAAUGUGGCGAUAAACAAUGAUAGGAAACAAAGUGUCAGACGAUAGAAAUCCACUUAAUAAGGAUGUUCUUGCGAGAAAAAAACUAAGCAAAAGAUGACAUAUAUAACUGCAUUUCAGCACUGCAAUUCUUCACUGGAAAGAUGGAAUAGAAAUGCUUGGGGUAAAGCAGGAAUGCCUAAGAAGCAUGGGAUGAGACAGAACAGCAAGAGAUACACACCUUGGGUUAAACUGAAGAAACAGACGCACACUAUGGCCUGGAAGAUGAAUAGCACUCUCUUGCUCAAAGCCAUGGAGCCUGAGAAGCACCUGACAAGCCAAACUCUUUUCCUUCCCUCCAAAACAGCAGUGGCCUUAUCUUUCUCCGUCCCCUAUUUCUUGAUCUCCACCUAAGCUUGCUCACCGCAUUUGAGUGGGUUUAUGUAGAGGGCUUGGCUCUGGCAGAUUGAUAGCAAUAGGCUGCUGUGUAUAUGCAUUAAAGAGAGCUCACCAGCUGCAGUAAGUGCUAUUCAAUGCAGAGGGAGCACUGGCUUGGUACAACUGGGAUUUAUGGACUUCAUCAACCAACCAACCGUAGCAAGGCUGCUCUGAAGAUUGGAAGAAAGGGACCUCAUCCUCUCAGCUCUUUAUAAGUUGGGAGAGCCAAGCCCUAACUCUUUAUAAGGACAAUGCGACCAGUGAUGAACAAGAAAAAAAGCUUCUCACAGUGACAUCUGCUAUCAUAACAAGACACCCUAACAACCUACUUUCAGACAGCCUUGUCAUGGGUUUAUUUAAAGGUAACACGAGCUAGCGUUAAGUCAGUUACACGCCCGUUUUCACCUGUUGUCACAGUGUCACACACCAAGCGCGUGCGCAAGUAAAAAACAAGUUGCAUGGGACUGACCGAGCUGCCGAAGCAGAGUGGUGCACCUAGGGUCAUAAGACCACAUCCUUGUCCGGGCAGUUCGCUGAUUGCCGGACGGUUCCUUAAUUUUCUCAACAGAAGCCCUUAAUCUGUAUUGAAUGGCUCAAAAUGAAUCUGUAGCCAAACACUUCAGGAUACACUCGUCGUUCUACUGAUUGAAUUCUGGAAUCUUGAUGGUAUGGAUCAGAAAGAAUCAGUACUGGACCUCCGUCAAAUGGGGCAAUUUGACCAUCAUCAACUCACCAUGGCUAUGAGCUGGAACCUACCGGUGAAAAUACGUGGCUCUGACGAUCUAUCCACCGUCUGCUAUAUCAUCAAGAUGCUCCAUCUCCCUGGGGUCCUAUUCCUUAAGACUUUCCAUCCUCUUCCAUCAUCAUCUUGACGAAAACGAAGAAAAAAUGGGACGAUCUUGCUACUGUUUUAAGUUGAAGGCUGCAGCAGAUCAGCACAGUCCUCAUGUCUCUUCAAAGAUGAUUGGAUGGAAAAACAAAUUCUACAUCUGAUCUGUAUUCUGGUAGCUGGGUCUCAAAGAGCUGACGCAAUGAUCUGACAAGAUGUUUCAAAUUAUAAUUAGUCACACUGACAAACCUGCUUCUGUUGUUCGCCGAAAUUCUUUUGGAAUGCCUCGGUAUGAUUACUGAAUAGUGAUAAAUUAAUAGGUCAUUGGGGGUGUCAUCUCCACACGUUCGCUCUACUAAUACGUUUUCGAGUCAUUGGCAUUAGCACCCUUAACUUAACUGUUUGUCUUUUUUUUACCUAACAUUUAUAAGUAGUGGAAAAUAUGCUAUACUAUCAAAUCAUCAUAAUU